AACGCGAAGAACCUUACCAAGGUUUGACAUGCAGGGAAAAGCCGUAGAGAUACGGUGUCCGUAAGGGUCCUGCACAGGUGGUGCAUGGCUGUCGUCAGCUCGUGUCGUGAGAUGUUGGGUUAAGUCCCGCAACGAGCGCAACCCUCGUUCUAUGUUGCCAGCGGGUAAUGCCGGGAACUCAUAGGAGACUGCCGGGGUCAACUCGGAGGAAGGUGGGGAUGACGUCAAGUCCUCAUGCCCCUUAUAUCUUGGGCUGCAAACAUGCUACAAUGGCCGGUACAGAGGGCUGCGAGACCGCAAGGUGGAGCGAAUCUCAAAAAGCCGGUCUCAGUUCGGAUUGGGGUCUGCAACUCGACCCCAUGAAGUCGGAGUCGCUAGUAAUCGCGAAUCAGCAACGUCGCGGUGAAUACGUUCCCGGGCCUUGUACACACCGACUGUAC
rnacentral:rRNA from 1 species